rnacentral:lncRNA from 1 species
CGGCUUUACCACCAUAAUUUUUCACAUCAAAUACGGCAGAUUGAACUCUACCAGCAAAAACAAACAAUAAUAGCAAAGAUGUCAGGGAAAAAUACGUCUCCAGGGUCGUCAUCUUCAUAAAGUCUUUUCUUUUCUAAGUUCUUUCGUAAAAUGCGCGGCAAAUUAGAAUGGAUUUCUCCUUGUUUGCAAAAGCUUUUAUAUCUAAGCAAUUAUCUAAAGUUACCGGAUUUUAUAACGGAGGGAAGUUAUUUACUUGUAACUUUUGUUCUAUUAUUGGAAAUUGUUUUGUCGCUUUUUAAUAAAAAGCAUAACAGAGAAAUACCGACUAACGUCUAACCUAUAAGUAGAUAUUGUCUUGUUUUUGAUUCGUUUGCAGCAAAACUUAUCUUUACGUCUAAGCCUUUCAUACUGAUAUAGCGAUUUCUUACUUGUUCAUGACAAGCACCCU